rnacentral:rRNA from 1 species
AGCGGCGGACGGGUGAGUAACGCGUGAGAAUCUACCCAUGAGUGGGGGACAACCCGGGGAAACUCGGGCUAAUACCGCAUACGCCCUACGGGGUAAAGCAGGGGACCUUCGGGCCUUGCGCUGAUGGAUGAGCUCGCGUCGGAUUAGCUUGUUGGUGAGGUAAAGGCUCACCAAGGCGACGAUCCGUAGCUGGUCUGAGAGGAUGAUCAGCCACACCGGGACUGAGACACGGCCCGGACUCCUACGGGAGGCAGCAGUGGGGAAUCUUGGACAAUGGGGGCAACCCUGAUCCAGCCAUGCCGCGUGUGUGAAGAAGGCCUUCGGGUUGUAAAGCACUUUCAGUAGGGAGGAAGGCUUACCCCUAAUACGGGUGAGUACUUGACGUUACCUACAGAAGAAGCACCGGCUAAUUUCGUGCCAGCAGCCGCGGUAAUACGAAAGGUGCAAGCGUUAAUCGGAAUUACUGGGCGUAAAGCGCGCGUAGGCGGUGUGUUAAGUCGGAUGUGAAAGCCCAGGGCUCAACCUUGGAAUUGCAUCCGAUACUGGCACGCUAGAGUGCAGUAGAGGGAGGUGGAAUUUCCGGUGUAGCGGUGAAAUGCGUAGAGAUCGGAAGGAACACCAGUGGCGAAGGCGGCCUCCUGGACUGACACUGACGCUGAGGUGCGAAAGCGUGGGGAGCAAAUAGGAUUAGAUACCCUGG